GGUAACGCGAGAUAUUAGUGCGGUUCAAUCAAAUAGUCGUCCUCUUAACUCAUGGAGAACGGUGUUGUUCGAUUGAGCCGUGCCAAUAUCACGCGGUAAACC
rfam:Arabidopsis thaliana chromosome 1, complete sequence.